AGUGAACGCUGGCGGUAGGCCUAACACAUGCAAGUCGAACGGCAGCACAGUAAGAGCUUGCUCUUACGGGUGGCGAGUGGCGGACGGGUGAGGAAUACAUCGGAAUCUACUUUUUCGUGGGGGAUAACGUAGGGAAACUUACGCUAAUACCGCAUACGACCUACGGGUGAAAGCAGGGGAUCUUCGGACCUUGCGCGAUUGAAUGAGCCGAUGUCGGAGUAGCUAGUUGGCGGGGUAAAGGCCCACCAAGGCGACGAUCCGUAGCUGGUCUGAGAGGAUGGUCACCCACACUGGAACUGAGACACGGUCCAGACUCCUGCGGGAGGCAGCAGUGGGGAAUAUUAGACAAUGGUCGCAAGCCUGAUCCAGCCAUACCGCGUGGGUGAAGAAGGCGUUGGGGUUGUAAAGCCCUUUUGUUGGGAAAGAAAAGCAGCAGGUUAAUACCCCGCUGUUCUGACGGUACCCAAAGAAUAAGCACCGGCUAACUUCGUG
rnacentral:rRNA from 1 species